AAUCUCUCAUAGAGAAGGUUCUGGCAAUCCUCCUGACAUCACAGAGACUGGGACACCAUCAGUGUUGAGCUGACCACCAAGGAGGGCCCCACAGUCCUCACAGGCCCCAGCAGCCUGCCCUGGCUCUCCAUGUCCUGGCCCAGACUGGGAGUAGUGCACAGACUAUGCCCAGCUGCUGUCUCUCCACCCUCAGGCCUUAAACACCUCCUCCAGGAAGCCCUCCUUGUUUACCUGCCCCUACAAAGCCAUGCUCAGCAUGUGUGUGUGACCUCACAGCCCAUGUGUGUCUGCCACUGAGAGGACUAUGCCUCCACUUUGCAAGGGGAAGAGGCCAGGAAGGAGGCCCGGAAGGAAGUCGUGGGAGAGGCAAGGGGAGCCCAGCACGGAUGUGUGAGGAACCGACUGAAGCCUUGGCCUCCCUGCAUCAGAGAAACAUGAGAUUUUCAUCCUAAAAUCCUCUCACAAUGGACCAAGCCUGGAAAGUUCCAUUGAACAUGGCCAUUCAGUGCCGCCCAUGCACUGGCCCCCAGCGACCCCAAGGGACGGCCACACCUGUACCCUUCCGCAGGAGCCCUCGUCGUCCCCCCUCGUGCAGCUCUUCUGGGACAUGGAGGCCAACUUCCCCUCACGCCCCGAGCUCUCCCAACCUGACUCCACUGCCACCUGCCCAGUGUGAGGUUCCAGGUGGACAUGAGUUUGAGGGGAAACCAUCCAACCCAAGAUGUCUGCGUGGGCUUGUUUCCCUCUAUCUUGUCCUCCACCCACUGUGGCCUCCAAAGGAACUGCUUGCAUCCAGCCUACAUAACAGGAGCUGCUCCUGA
rnacentral:lncRNA from 1 species